CCUACGGGGGGCUGCAGUGAGGAAUAUUGGUCAAUGGGCGCGAGCCUGAACCAGCCAAGUCGCGUGAAGGAUGACGGUCCUAUGGAUUGUAAACUUCUUUUGUGCAGGAAUAAAGUGAGGAACGUGUUCCUUUUUGUAUGUACUGUACGAAUAAGCAUCGGCUAACUCCGUGCCAGCAGCCGCGGUAAUACGGAGGAUGCGGGCGUUAUCCGGAUUUAUUGGUUUUAAGGCGGGCUGAUGCGGCAGGGGUGAAAGUUUGCAGCUUAACUGUAAAAUUGCCAUUGAAACUGUUAGUCUUGAGUGCAAAUGAGGUAGGCGGAAUGUGUUGUGUAGCGGUGAAAUGCUUAGAUAUAACACAGAACUCCGAUUGCGAAGGCAGCUUACUGGGAUGCAACUGACGCUGAUGCACGAAAGCGUGGGUAUCAAACAGGAUUAGAUACCCGGGUAGUC
rnacentral:rRNA from 1 species